GCCCGCUUGGUGCAAUUGGUAGCACACCUCUCUAUUAUUAAACAUAUUGUUACGGAGAUCCAGGUUCGAGUCCUGGGGCGGGCA